AGAAUAUUAAGUGAGUGGAAGAGAGGGGCCUCAUCUGCAGGGUAGCCACACAGUGUUAAUAAGGAUGAGAAUAGUUUUAGUAUUAACUAAAAGUCACAAAAAUUUUAUGAUACUUUUUUAAUGAUACUUUUUGUUUGGUAUACAAAUGACAUAGAGCCAUUUAUAAAAAGCUGAUAUUUCCUUAUAGUUUGACUUUAUUUGGUUUUGUUCUCAUAGAUGUUUUCUCCCAGAUGUCAGAUUCCAAUGGCUUAAUGAUAUUUAGCAAGUUUGACCAGUUUCUGAAGGAAGUUCUGAAGCUCCCAACAGCUGUCUUUGAAGGGCCAUCUUUUGGUUACACAGAGCACUCAGUCCGCACCUGUUUUCCACAGCAGAGAAAGAUAAUGCUAAAUAUGUUUUUAGACAUGAUGAUGGCUGACCCUCCUCCCCAGUGCCUUGUCUGGCUACCUCUCAUGCACAGGCUUGCCCAUGUUGAGAAUGUCUUCCAUCCCGUGGAGUGCUCCUACUGCCGAUGUGAGAGUAUGAUGGGUUUCCGGUACCGAUGCCAGCAGUGCCACAACUAUCAGCUCUGCCAGAAUUGCUUUUGGCGUGGCCAUGCCGGUGGCCCUCACAGCAACCAGCACCAGAUGAAGGAGCAUUCCUCUUGGGUAACUGCUUUGUGUUUCAUCUGUGUCCCUGAGUGUUAAUCUGUUUGAUCAGUAACAGCACCUGGACCAGUUUCCUCAUGGAUGCCUCCCAAAUAAGGAUGUGGUAUAGUAAAAUCUUAACACUAACAUUUAUGCCAGAAUUGCAAAAAUGUGCUUCCUCACUUGAUUUUAAAAGCAGAAUUUUAAAAAAUUCCAGGAAAUAAAGAUACUACAUUUGAAAUGGUCUCUUUUAUUCAGUAAAAUGGAAUGUUGCAAUGCUCUCUUUCCAAAG
rnacentral:sRNA from 1 species